rnacentral:rRNA from 1 species
AGAGUUUGAUCUUGGCUCAGAAUCAACGCUGGCGGCGUGCCUAACACAUGCAAGUCGAACGCGAAAGGGGCUUCGGCCCUGAGUAGAGUGGCGAACGGGUGAGUAACACGUGGGUGAUCUACCUUCGAGUGGGGGAUAACGUCCCGAAAGGGACGCUAAUACCGCAUGACGUUCCGGGUUUAAAGGCCUGGAAACCAAAGCCGGGGACCGCAAGGCCUGGCGCUUGAAGAGGAGCCUGCGUCCGAUUAGCUAGUUGGCGGGGUAAUGGCCCACCAAGGCAACGAUCGGUAGCCGGCCUGAGAGGGCGGACGGCCACACUGGAACUGAGACACGGUCCAGACUCCUACGGGAGGCAGCAGUGGGGAAUUGUUCACAAUGGGCGCAAGCCUGAUGACGCAACGCCGCGUGGGGGAUGAAGGUCUUCGGAUUGUAAACCCCUGUCGAAUGGGACGAAAGACCCGGGAGCUAAUCAUCCCGGGAGUGACGGUACCGUUAAGGAAGCCACGGCUAACUCUGUGCCAGCAGCC